CCCAAGCUUCUUGCCCCCUCCUCCCCAAACGAACGGGUGAGAGAAAAUGCACAAUUCGAAGUCUGUGCGAACAAAGUGGCUCAAGUAAACCAACUCGUGGUGGUAGCUAAAAGAUUUUUGGCUGCAAGGAAACAAACUAGUCCUCCUCCGGAUCAAUGUCCAGGAACUUAGAAGAAAGAAUUGGUGAUAUUAGGACUUCAGUACUUCUGGAAAAAAAUGCAAAUGAUUUAGCCAGGAUCUUUCCUGUCUGAUUCGUCACUAUUAUUAUAUAUGAUGAUGCGAAUGGUUGGAGCGAUUCAAUCUUAAGUCAUUAAUGAGCUAUUUUAUAAACACCACUGUCUGAAGAUCCUCAUUUACAUUUUGCGAAGAAUCACUUCGCUAACCUCUCAGUCUAUGUCAGCAGCAUGAUUACGGACUUCAGUUACACGUUUAUAAACAACACAGCCGUAUUGUUAAUCGGUUAAUAUUUUAUAAAGUGUAAAUAUUUUAUUAUGUUUUGAAGGGAACGAUUGAUUCUAAAUUAUUAAACCUCUGAGAAGGGCGUUUUAAAUAAAGUAUACAAUUAACUACAAUUAAAUGUACAUUGUGGCUAGUUUUUCAGAUUAUGCUCCCUUUUAAAUUCAUUGAUUUUUCUAUUGGAGUUUCCUCUUCCGUUUUUGAUAGUGAACGAAUCUAUCAUUUUUGGCAAAAGAACUAAGAACACUUAAAUAGAACACUUAAAUUGCAUUUAACAAAGAAAUAUUUCGAAUGCUACUAAUUUUAUCAGAAAUGUGUUUUGAAUGUAGACAUGUUUAGUAACACAUUUUACAAAAUUAUGUCCAUUUAAAAAAGGAGAAUUCUAGGAAGUUUUGUGGUAUAUGCCCAGUUUUUCCUUGAAUUUUGUCCCUAAUAAAGGCCUUUUCUGUUUCAAAUUA